GAUGAACGCUGGCGGCGUGCCUAAUACAUGCAAGUCGAGCGAACAGACGAGGAGCUUGCUCCUUUGACGUUAGCGGCUGACGGGUGAGUAACACGUGGGUAACCUACCUAUAAGACUGGGAUAACUUCGGGAAACCGGAGCUAAUACCGGAUAAUAUUUCGAACCGCAUGGUUCGAUAGUGAAAGAUGGCUCUGCUAUCACUUAUAGAUGGACCUGCGCCGUAUUAGCUAGUUGGUAAGGUAACGGCUUACCAAGGCAACGAUACGUAGCCGACCUGAGAGGGUGAUCGGCCACACUGGAACUGAGACACGGUCCAGACUCCUACGGGAGGCAGCAGUAGGGAAUCUUGCGCAAUGGGCGAAAGCCUGACGGAGCAACGCCGCGUGAGUGAUGAAGGUCUUCGGAUCGUAAAACUCUGUUAUUAGGGAAGAACAAAAGUGUAUGUAACUGUGCACGUCUUGACGGUACCUAAUCAGAAAGCCACGGCUAACUACGUG
rnacentral:rRNA from 1 species